AGCAGCCGCGGUAAUUCCAGCUCCAAUAGCGUAUAUUAAAGUUGCUGCAGUUAAAAAGCUCGUAGUUGAAUUUCGGGAUCAAUAUGUUGGUCGUGCCUUGGUACGUACUAGCUUAUUGGUUUCUCCCUUCUGACGAACCAUGAUGUCAUUAAUUUGGUGUCAUGGGGAAUCAGGACUGUUACUUUGAAAAAAUUAGAGUGUUUAAAGCAGGCUCGCGCUUGAAUACAUUAGCAUGGAAUAAUGAAAUAGGACAUUUGAUUCUAUUUUGUUGGUUUCUAGGAUCGAUGUAAUGAUUAAUAGGGAUAGUUGGGGGCAUUAGUAUUCAAUUGUCAGAGGUGAAAUUCUUGGAUUUAUUGAAGACUAACUACUGCGAAAGCAUUUGCCAAGGAUGUUUUCAUUAAUCAAGAACGAAAGUUAGGGGAUCGAAGACGAUCAGAUACCGUCGUAGUCUUAACCAUAAACUAUGCCGACUAGGGAUCGGAUGAUGUUAAUUUUUUAAUGUA
rnacentral:rRNA from 1 species